rnacentral:lncRNA from 10 species
GAUGAGGUUUCACCAUGUUGGCCAGGCUGGUCUCGCACCCCUGACCUCAGGUGAUCCGCCUGCCUUGGCCUCCCAAAGUGCUGGGAUUACAGGCGUGAGCCACUGCACCCAGCUGUACCUAAUUUUCAACAGAGAGGGUUCCUGUCUCCUACUCUUGCAGACCUACCCCCAGGAAACCCCACUUUGGCACCCGGGGAAGGGAAGGCAGAGGGUGCCUGGGUCCACAUUUCCCAGCAGUCCCUGCUCCCCAUGGGGAGGGCUUUAGCUGAGGAGGAGCCACAGAGCAGCCUAACAUUCUAAGCAGGAAAUUAAAAAGGGCACUGGCAAAGGAGUGCUCAUAACCUUUACAGUUCUCUCCUCCCGCCUCCUGAGGGCCAGUGUGGCUGAGUCUGUUUGCCUAAUGAGAUGUUUUCCUUCUUGCUGAGAUGGUGCUGGGGGCG